GCUCUGCACUGGCCGCGAGGAGGGCUGAGCUGAUAGAUAGCUGGAGAGACGAUUCAGCUUCCUCCUCCCUCCAGCCUGAAGGUGGCAAUAGAGAGCGCCGCUGUGCAGUGAGGACAGGCUGUCUUCUCCCUCAGUCUCUUUCACCAUAUCACAUGACUGGAGGAAGGAGAUGUUCCGCACAGUGUGUCUAACUGCAACCUUGUGCCGAGAAGUCAACUUCGCCCCCGCCUGUGAAAAGAAAAUCGUCCACAUAUACAGGAUUAAAACUGAAUAGAAAAACUCUAAGUGCACUCUACUGCUUCAGGGAUCACUCAGUUGUUGGACCUCACAUCAUUAUGAUCAAUCAUACGGUGCAAGCUAAUCAGUGUAAAAAGGAUUGUCAGCAAUGAAGAGAGAAGGGCACAGAGAACAGUUGAAAUGUGUGAGAAAUUCAGGAAUCGUGGGUACCCAAUAGGUAUGAUACAGCAUGAAGUGGGGAAGCUGGAGUGUACACAGAAAACGUAUAAAAGAAACAAAAGAUGUAGUUGCAAGUGGCUCCCCUUCUCCAUUGAAUAUCAUAACUAUAGUGAAGAGAUUUUUAAAGAGGAGUUCAAACCCACCCCUUUAAAAAUUUCACUUUUGGGUGGAACUCUGCUUUAAGAUAAUUAUAAAACAUUGGACAUUACUGCAACAUGCAUUCCCUGAGAUAGAACACUUUCAGGAAAUACCAUUGAAGGCAUAGUGAAGAAAUCAAACUUUAAGGGACAUGUUGGUACAUUCUGAACAUAAAAGUGCAAAAAAAGGUAGAAUUAUUUUUUAUUUUUUUGGGAAGUAGGAGAAAUGGAUCGUAUCCAUGCCUCAGUUGUGUGUAGUGCAAGUUAAUGAGAAAAGGGGAUAGUUGUAUACACCCUGUAGAUAAAAAAAAGUAUAACAUCCGCAGAUUCCACACGUGUCACAAUAAAUGUGGGAGAGACUACAGAAAAGAUCAAGGACGUAAACAACCGAGUUUACCUGUCCCUAAACAUUACAUGCAAUAUGGGCAAAAUGACACAGAUUUGGAGUUUAUGAUUUUGGAAGAGAUACGUAGACACAAAAGGGGAGGAUAUAGGAUCCUGAAAUUGAAGUAGAGGGAGAUUGAACUCUUUACAUCCAUAUGGUCUAAACAAAGAUUACGAUCUAUACUUGUUUUUGUAGUUCUCUAAGGGUAUGUAUGGGGGCAAUGAUUGGUACAAAGGAUGUUUGAUAAAUAUUUUUUAUAAAAUAUUUUUUAUAAAUCA